CUCCUCCAGUUCACUCUCGAGAGAGAAAAUUGAAAUGACCUCGGGACUCACCGUGCGAUUCAGAUCUCAUCUCCUCUACAUUGCCUCCCUCUUCCCUUCCUCCCUUCACUACCACCCUCACAUCUCCUCACCGGCGCACUUCUCCCUCCACCGACGCACACGUGCUAGCUCCAGACACGGUGCCUCUAGACCUACGUGCUCAGCUUUGGCAGCCUUGCCGGCUUUGUCAUGAUCGUUCUCAACAACUUCCAAGACCAGGUCAUCUUCUAUGUCACCCCAACCAAAGCCUUCGAAAAAUACGCCAACAGUCCAACAAUGUUGGUUGGUUUCUUGUAGAAGUUAGUCAUUUUGAGGUCAAAAUCUUAUUAUUUCACUUGUGAAUCAGAUGGGAAAAUAACUGUUGUUCUUUAACUUCACAAGGUAUUGAUGUCUUGAUCUGAGGCGGUAACAAAUGAAUUUCAACAUAUUGCUACGGCAGAAGGUGGUUAAACUUAUUCAAAGAUAUCUAAAAGACAUUCAUAGUUUUGUGGAGAUAGAUUGAAACUCCCAUACUGUGAAGAUCCACACCAGAAAGUGCCCAAGAUUAUAUAAUUCCAUCAAGAAUCUAGAUGUUUCCUUGAUGAAGAUUUAAGAGCUCAUAGACAACCUAAGUUCACCCAACUAGAUAUGGAAAUGACCUUUACUCCUUCCGAGGAUAUGUUAACGCUUAAUGAAGAAUCGAUUAGAAAGUCACCCGUAGAUGGAAAACCAAUGCUUUUAACACCCAAGGAAUAAAUUCAAAUCCAAGUAAGUAAAUUAAGCUUUUCUCCAUGUUUUUCUUUUAUUUUUACCUGGGUGCCUUCUUUUUGCUCGUAUUUAUAUGUGUCAUAUUUAAAAUGUAUAGGAGAUUAUAAGAGUCUUUAAAUGUGAUUUGCUUUUUAAAUAAAAUAUUUUCUUGUAUUAAAUACAAUAUUUUCAAACUGAGGAGCAAUUGAUCUUUCUUUAACAUUUGGAAUUUAUCACUUAUAAAAAGGUCAUGUCCUUUAUCCUUGCUUCAUGUUCCCCCCUUAUUACAGAUUUUGAUGUUCUCUACUCUUGACUCAACUUUCUCCAAAUUAGUUUUUAGAAAGCAAUUGCAAAUAACAAUUCAAGACAGCAUGGUCUAGUACUCUGCAGUCUACCACUAAUGGAAUAUGACUACUCAUUCUUAAAAAAAAA